UCAGUUUGGGAGUGUAUUCAUGUCCCACAGUGGGUUUUGAGUGUGCUACUUAUUCAUUUUUACACUUUACACUCCGCUGAUUUUAACGACAGGAAGUAAAUUGCUCAACUCCGCCUCUGUAAGACGUAAAGUCGUCUUGGUGUUUUUCCUCGGCAGUGUCCCGGGUAUUAUUGACGUGAAACCGCGUGGAAGCGGGGGUCUUCACGGGAGAACGCGAUGUUGGCUUUUUUGCCGACAGAAGCCAGGUCGCCAGCUUUAGGCAGCAGAAGUCUCCUCGAUCUGCAGGAAAACAAUGUCUGCAGAGAUUCUGGUGGUCAGCGUCGACGGUCUCCUGUUUUUGGAGAAUUUAAUUUUUUUUCCAGGUCGUGAGGUCGCAAACGCCCGCCAUGUGUUUUCUGGAGACGCGCUCUCCCUCAUCACGGUCGCAGCUCUUGGACCCCGUGCACGCUUCACAAGUGGGGGCCGUCGGCUGGAACAUCUGGAAGACAUUUGCUCUGUUUCUCAUCGAACGUUGCAGCCAGGAAUCCGCGGGUAAACUCCAAAAAGUCACAUCCACAACCGAAACUGUUUUGGGGGUCGGGUUGUAGGGCCAUUGAUGUGGUUCCACGCUGGGAAUGUUAACGAUCACCAAGGGAACACAUGUAUUCCAAGGUGGAAGCAGUACCCAGCAGGAUCAAUUGAAAAGCAAAUAUAUAUUUGGGAUGAUGAUUUUACAUUAGGGGCAGGUGAGGAACUGCCCCACCAUUACCAACAGAUGGUACUUAGAUGUAGAAAGUGUUUAGUUUUUUUAUUUUCUAUUACCUAUGAGGUCCAUUUGCGAGAUGGAUAUUUAUAAUUUACUCUCGUUCAUUACAUACGAUAAUGAUUUUAUGCCACCAGGGGCAAGUGGGGCACUGCCCCAUCAUAACCAACUACGACUGACAUAGUUUUUGCUAGUGCGCAUUAUCAAGAUUCAUCGGUGAAAUGAAUAUGAAUAAAUUAAAAUGUAUCCUUU